AUUGAACGCUGGCGGCAUGCCUUACGCAUGCAAGUCGAACGGUAACGCGGGGCAACCUGGCGACGAGUGGCGAACGGGUGAGCAACGCAUCGGAACGUGCCCAGUAGUGGGGGAUAGCCCGGCGAAAGCCGGAUUAAUACCGCAUACGACCUACGGGUGAAAGGGGGGGAUCGCAAGACCUCUCGCUAUUGGAGCGGCCGAUGUCAGAUUAGGUAGUUGGUGGGGUAAUGGUCUACCAAGCCGACGAUCUGUAGCUGGUCUGAGAGGACGACCAGCCACACUGGGACUGAGACACGGCCCAGACUCCUACGGGAGGCAGCAGUGGGGAAUUUUGGACAAUGGGCGAAAGCCUGAUCCAGCCAUGCCGCGUGCGGGAAGAAGGCCUUCGGGUUGUAAACCGCUUUUGUCAGGGAAGAAAUCUUCUGGGUUAAUACCUCGGGAGGAUGACGGUACCUGAAGAAUAAGCACCGGCUAACUACGUGCCAGCAGCAGCCGCCG
rnacentral:rRNA from 1 species